rnacentral:rRNA from 1 species
UACGUAGGGGGCUAGCGUUGUCCGGAAUCAUUGGGCGUAAAGAGCGUGUAGGCCGUCCGGUAAGUCCGCUGUGAAAGUCGGGGGCUCAACCCUCGAAUGCCGGUGGAUACUGUCGGGCUAGAGUGCGGAAGAGGCGAGUGGAAUUCCUGGUGUAGCGGUGAAAUGCCCAGAUAUCAGGAGGAACACCUAUUGCGAAGGCAGCUCGCUGGGACGUUACUGACGCUGAGACGCGAAAGCGUGGGGAGCAAACAGG